GCUGCGGGAGGGCACAGAGGACCCUGGAGUGGAUGUGGGCCGGGCAGCCCCUGCUCAGCCCUCUGCUGAGCGGCCCCACUGUGGUGCCUGUGGCCUCAUCUCCCCAGUGCCCACCUGGUGCUCAGGGGGGGUCUCCACACAGCCCACAGGUGCUACUCACACAAUGUCACUGGGCUCCAGCCUCGUGUCGGGCGGAGGGUUGAUGAGGACGUAGGAGAGGGUGUUCUGGUGGUCGUUCAUCUCGUCUGCAAAGGACACAGCCGGGCAGACGUCACCCCCCCAGCCCUGCCCCUCCCAGCUCUGCAGGGGCCCAGAGGUGUGGGGGCUCCAGGAUGAGCUGAGUCUUUCCGGCCUUCCUGACCAUUCUGCUCCAGCACCUCAUCCUGGUGAGCCCAGCCAGGGCCCAUCCCUGACCGACACCUGUCCCAUCUCCACACAGGGCAGGGGACAGCCAGGAGGGCAGCUGGGAGCCAGCUCUGACCCGCACCCACCUCUGGUGCUAGGUGGCAUCGCAGCAAAGGGGUGGCCCUGAGCAGAGGCACUGAGCACACCUGCACACACCAGCGCACACCUGCCACGUACGUCAGCCUGCAGACACCGGGACGUGUCUGUUCACCUCACAUGCAUGCAUGCCUUCAUCUACACCUGCACACACCUGCAGAUUCACCUCUGUAUUCCACACACAUUUGUGUGUCUGCACAGAUCUUCAUAGCAACCCAUGCCUAUGGUAUCCACAGACCCCUGCACACUCACUCAUAUACACACCUGCAUGCCGUCCUCCACAUCCACACACCCCCACCCCCGCCUCCAGAGGCUGCUCAGCCCUGUCCCUCCCUCAGGGCCCUGCAGCUGCCGCUGUCCCCGGGCCUGGACAGGCCAUUCCCACUCGCUGUGCUCAGCCCUUUGCUUCAGACUGAAGUCCUGAGUGGCAUCAGCCCAGAGCACCCCCACCCCGCAGCUCAUCCCUCCGAGAACAUGGCCUCUGCCCCUCAUGGGAGACAGCCUGGCGUCCGGCUCAUGGGGUGGGCGUGGGCAUGUGUCCCACAGGGUGAGAACGGUCCUGGAGAGACAGCCCCCCCAUCAUCUCACAGUCUCCAUGGGGCCGGCAGGGUAGCCCUGCCAAGCACAGGGAGGGAGAGGCCACCAUCCCAGCAGUGGCCCUGGGUUCACUGGCUGGAAAGGGUCUGUGGCCUCAGUUUAUCCAUCUGAUGGUGUCUACGGGAAGCUCCUGGAUUCCUGUUCCAGGACUCCAAGGACAGAGAACAAAGGUGACCCAGGACGGGGGACCCCAGGGAGCCUCCACCCUGGCUGCUGCCAUUCCCUCCUCUCUGCCCGUCCUCUCCCCUUGGGGUAGCCCUGCCCUGGUCCCUGAGAAGGGAAAAGUCGGGGAGGCUGCUGGCCAGCCAGGUGGGGGCCAUGCUGGUCCCUCUGCAGUGGGGGCUUUGGAGUUCCCACAGUGUGAGCACAGCUGCUGCCAGGGUGGCGGGGGCACAGGCUAGGACUUGGGGGCGACCAGGGCAGCUCCGGCCAGGAGACCAGCUCUGCUUCAGGCCUUUCGCACACGGCGGCAGGUCAUUUGGUGCCAGCUCCUGUGUCCACACCUGCGGGAUGGGACGGCCUGACACCUGCCCCUCACAGCUGUUUUGCUCUUUUCCCAAAACCCAUGGUGGGGUCUUCCCCAGGCCUUUGGAGGAGGCCCAGGGGCCUCAUGCUGAGGCUGUGCAGGGAGACACACCCUCCCCACCCUCGUGCCCACACACGCUUCUGGGGUGGCCGCAUGGCAGGUGGCACAGGGAGUGGGUGGUGAGGGCAGCUCUAGUAGGUUCUUGGGACCCUGCCCCCCUGCCUGACUGGCUUUGUGACGAGCACCCAGUGGGACACCGAGAACAAGGGGCCACCAGCUCAUUUCACUCCGGCAGGCACAGACUGGCCCCCAGGCCCCAGCUUCUCCCGCUGGGGUGCCCGGACCACACGCUUCUGAAGCCCCAGAGGCUUCCAGACCUCCUGGCUCUUGGCAUCCACGGUCACUCCCGCCUGAAUCCCCCACGCCAGGCCAGAGCUACCGCCACCCGAGCCUCAGUUUCCUUCUCUAUAAACUGGGGAUAACUAGUGCCUCCCCCCACGGCAGCUGUGAGGAAGGCGUGAAGAGGGGAUUUGUGCUCCGCUUGAAUCUAAACAUGGGGGUGCAGCUCCCCAGCCCCAGAACCCCGGCACCGUCACCCUCCCGGGCAUGUAGGCCGAGCCCAGGAAAUGCCUGCCGCGGGAGUCCUGUGAGCCCUCGCCCCCCAAGCCCGCUGUGGCCAUGCCUGCCCUGGAGCUGCAGUGGGAGCCGCAGGAAGCUUUGGCGGGUGAGGGGAGCGGGCGACGCAGGCAUCCCACUCAUGAAGGCCGCUAGCUGCAGGUCCGAGCACCACAGUGCCCGGCAGAGCGAGGGUCUUCCAUGAGCGCCAUCGUGGGGAAAAGCACAGAGCCGGGAGAGGCCGACGCUUUACUUCUGUGGCUGCCCCAGGCCUGGCCCUGCCUCCGGGUGCAAGGGCAUUGUGGCAAACAGGUCCCUCCCGAGCUAACACCCGUCCUGGCUCAGGAGGCCCUUCAAGCUCCUGGGUUACCCUGUAGGGAGGUGUGGCAGCGGGGGCAGGCUCUGAGCUCCCCUGAGGCUGCCAGGACCCCUGGGAGCACCCUGGCCCGGACUCUGCUGAGCACUGACGGGGCACAGCAUGUUCUUGGAGGAAACGGGGUGUGGAGCGGCUCUGCUCGAGCCGAGCAGGAAGAAUCCCCUCGUGGAGCCCCAGCUGGGGGACGAAGGUCACCAUCCACCUGGCCUGGGCAGCCAUAAAGCCUGCCUACUCCUCGUGGCUUGGAGUCCCCACCCCUGCAUCCAGCCCAGGCUUCACCGAGCUCCUCCCGGGGCCCUGGCUCGGGACCCUCUGGGUGCUUCCUGAGAGCAGAGGAGCUUAGGGUCCUCAGACUGCUUGUGGGGCCGGCCACAGGGAAGGGCUGGCUGUAGGCCAGGGUGGCCCACCGGUCACAUCAGAGCUCAUCGUAAACAGCAAAGCAGGAGAAGCAGCACCAGGGUGAGCCCGAGAGCUGGGCAGUCGCCACUCUGCCUGGCGGCCAACAGCACCUUGACUAGCACAAGCCCCAGACCUCAGCCUCAGGCCCGUCCUCAACGCCCAGCCAGGGGACACUCUGUCGGCAUGCGAGGCCUUGCCCAACAGGGCCGCCUGGGCUGACACCUGGGACGUGCUCUCACAGCUCCUGUCCACCUGCCUGGCCGGGAUGGCGCAGCAAGGCUGCCGGCGGUGAAGGGUUGGCGAGCCCCGUUGUGCGGUGGUCGGCACCCGCCAGGGCAGAAUUACCUUGCAAAUAUCCCAGGUUUACCCGAUUCAUGACAUCACUGGCUGUUAAAUUUGCUACGUCCUCUACAGAACACACAGAAAGAGGCACAGACAGAAAGAGAGAGAGAGAGAAUAUCAGCAAGCGAGGUGCGGGCGGCCGGCACAGUGGGCGGGUGCAGGGGCAGCUGCACGGGAGGCCGGCCACCAGAAGCGAGUCGGUCACCAGAAAGGCAGUUGCUCCUUCCUUGCCAAGCU